rnacentral:rRNA from 1 species
AGAGUUUGAUCAUGGCUCAGGAUGAACGCUAGCGGCAGGCUUAAUACAUGCAAGUCGAGGGGCAGCACGGGUAGCAAUACCUGGUGGCGACCGGCAAACGGGUGCGGAACACGUACAGAACCUUCCUUUAAGCGGGGGAUAGCCCAUAGAAAUGUGGAUUAAUACCCCAUAGUAAUAUUUGAUGGCAUCAUUAGAUAUUUAAAGAUUUAUCACUUAAAGAUGGCUGUGCGGCUGAUUAGGUAGUUGGUGCGGGUAACGGCCCACCAAGCCAGCGAUCAGUAACUGGUGUGAGAGCACGACCAGUCACACGGGCACUGAGACACGGGCCCGACUCCUACGGGAGGCAGCAGUAAGGAAUAUUGGUCAAUGGACGCAAGUCUGAACCAGCCAUGCCGCGUGAAGGAUGAAGGCCCUCUGGGUUGUAAACUUCUUUUAUCUGGGAAGAAACCACUUUUUUCUAAAGGUGUUGACGGUACCAGAGGAAUAAGCACCGGCUAACUCCGUGCCAGCAGCCGCGGUAAUACGGAGGGUGCAAGCGUUAUCCGGAUUCACUGGGUUUAAAGGGUGCGUAGGUGGGUUGGUAAGUCAGUGGUGAAAUCUCCGUGCUUAACAUGGAAACUGCCAUUGAUACUACUGGUCUUGAAUUUUCUGGAGGUCAGCGGAAUAUGUCUGUAGCGGUGAAAUGCUUAGAUAUGACAUAGAACACCAAUUGCGAAGGNNNNNNGCUACAGGGAUAUUGACACUGAGGCACGAAAGCGUGGGGAUCAAACAGGAUUAGAUACCCNNGUAGUCC